ensembl:lncRNA
CAUCUUUUCACUUUGUAUAAAUUUCAGUAAUACUUUUAAGAACACCUAGAGACUCUACCUAUCCACCAUGCACAAAGUUGGCUGUAAGGUAGGACUGGCAAAGGUUCCCAAAUUGCCCAAUGGUUUCUUAAAGGUGAUUCUUGCAAGGCUCUUGGGGAAAGUUUACUGGUACCUAUGGAUAAUCACAAAGGUGCUUCACUUCAUGUGGAUGUUUCUGCUCCAUCAGAGAAGAUGCAUUAAACUACCUCCUUAUCUGACAGCACUUAAUCCAUGCACUGGGUCUGCCAGGUCUAAGAAGUUCUUCAUUCUUAUGGGAAUCUGCAUUAACAAAUAGCCACUGAAUACUCUCCUGGAGAUGUAAGCAACCUGUCAAGAUAGGAAGAAGUUAAUAAACAAAGUAUACAGCUGGAAAUCAAAUUCACAUCCCUAUAAUGGCUCUUGCACACUGAGAACCCCUCCUUUGAACAUUGCUUCCCUGAUGUGAUAGCGUUAAAUUUUGCCUACGGUGAGAUAACCUGGAGGAAAUUGUUCAGAAUUGUUUGGAGUUUGCUUGAUGCUGUUCUUCUUCUUUCUCUCAUAUUUUUUCAUCUUCUUUGUUUACUCUUUAGGAAAAAUUUGUGUGGCUGUGAAGAUGAUUGAAGCAUCAUUUUCUCAGUUUUUCCCCGGAUUUCUUCUUUGCACUCUAUGCCAUCCUUUCUUCCUGCGACUCUUCCUUUUGUGACAAAAAGCACUGCUAAUUGCAUAGAUUAGCUUCAAAUCCAGGAUCAAAGGUUUAACGCUUCGAUUUUCUGCUUCUUAGGCAUUUUAUUUUUUUUCUCUCAUAUGGGAAAUUUGCAAAACUGUUCACUACAGAAUUGAGUUGGUUUUCCUCUGAAAGUUGAGGGAAAAGGCUAAGCGUGGAAGGGGUAUGUUCUUACUUGACCUUAUCUGUUCUUUUGGCAGGUAUAUACUUUGCAUUAUGUCAUUAAAAGGCAAAGUGAUGGUUUUCGAGUAUUUUUGCAGAGCCAUGCUGCAGAGAGAGGAAAUGCUGCCACUGUGUCAUUUUUACUUUUCCUGAGAGUGAUAAAACAGAACCAACUCUUGGCAUAUAGACUGUUUAUACACUGUUUGCUGAGCUUGGUGAAAAGACGUUAUGUGUUCCUUGUCUAUCAAAAAUUUGUACAGGCAUGGAAAGUGGAUAGGCAGCAUUUUGAAAAGCUCCUUAGGGCUUUUUAGAAAGAUUUUUUAUACUUCAACUGGCAUGAGAGGCUUCCAUUUCAAACGUCAACAAAGGCUGGCAUUUGUGAGCCUGCCUUGCUGCUGAGGGCUGCAAGGAGUCAGAGUUCCCUGUGCAACUCUGAAUCAAGUUCAGCCUUGUGUUCUCAUCUGUAAUCAGAUAAAACAAACAAACAAGAAAGGAUGGGUGGGGAAAGCAUUAAUAUUUUAAACCUGGCUUUACCUGUCUGUUGCCUUUGAAAAUAAAAUUGUGUGUUUGAAUCAGUUUUGGCAGUCAAAUUUUGUGAAAUCUGUUGCAUGCAAUUUGAACAGCCACUAUACCUUCACAACACCCCAGGUGUAGAGAGUUACGCUGACAGUCAACCUAUGAAUUCAAAACUCUGUACAUAAAAGUAGGUAUUGCUAAUGCUGUGCUUAAAACUAUUCCACCAAAGAAAAGAACUUAAUAACAUGGGGGUGGUGAAGGUGAAGCUAUAUGAAAGCAUAGCUUUCCACAGCACAGUGUUGGAGUUAUUUUUCUUACGUACAACCACCACAGAGCUUUCCUUUCCCUUAGCAGCAGCCAAUCAAAAAAACGCAAAAGUGGCAGAUGACUAAAGCAUGCUUAAUGACAAACAACAUACAGUUUUCUCAGUGUCUGCAUUAGCUAAUGAAAAUAGAAGCUGAAAGAAUCAGGAGCAGAUCCAUUACAUGGUUUGCUUUUGUGUAAAUUGACUUUAUUUAUGUUUAAGCUUACAGAUAAACAGUUUGUGAUUCCAGAAAUUGCCUGUUAUAUACAGUCCGUUGAUGUGAUAUAUUUUGUUUCUUGAAGGCUUCUGAAGAUAAAAUAAUAAUAAUAAUAAUUACUCUUUCUAUAAUGACAACAUUUUAUCACCACAGAUAAUGAGAGUGCAGAAUUAUGGUUUACUCACCCACACACUGAAGAAAAUUGUGUCAUUCCUACAUCCAUUGCAAGGGAUAGAUUUAUUUUCUUUGUCCUUUCUUUUUUGUUCUUGCUUUUUGGAAACUUGAAUGUCCUCUUUCCCUGGUUUUCUCGCUUGCUCAUCUACAACCUCUAAUGCAAAUUUAUACUAAAUAUUGCUUGACCACACUCCCAAAUCACAAGAAUUAAUUCUUACCAUUAUUAUUUCUGCUGUCACAAAGAUUUAAAAACAUAAAUAGCUUUUUCUUUUUUUCUUCUUUUUUUUUUUUUAUUUUUGAGGCAAGAAGAAGAAAGGGUAUUGAACAAACACAUGACACUAAAGGAAUAAAAUAUGAACUGAACUUCCUCUAGAUUUCAAGCUAAUUAUUUUUCCCAGUUUGGUUACACACAACUGAGAAACAUUUAAAGGGAUGCAAAUUAGAAGAUCGUUAAUACGCAACCUAUGGUUUCAUCUGCCAGUCUUCAAGCAGAAGACCACGCUUCCCCCUCCAACACCAUUUUCAAGUUUUAUAGCUUAGUGUAACCAUUUUAAUUGUUCUUUUUCUGCAAGGCAUGAAGAUAAACCAUGCAUGAAUCAAUACAUGAAUGAAUCAGCCUCUGGUCUAGCUCACUGAUGUACUCAUCAUUUAUAUCCUUGCAUAAUUUACAGAAAUUGAAAGUGUAGUGAGGCUUUGCAUUCAGCUGAAUGUGGUUUGUUUACACAGUCCAAUAGAGUUUCACGUUCCAGAAAAGCUGAUUCUGCAGGGAUUGCUCAAGCAGGAUAAAAACAUCUAAAGCUUUGUGCUAAAAUAGAUGCAGUUAAGUGCCUAGGUGUCCCAUCACUUUUAGCCAAAUCUUAAUGAGAACACUGACAUCUUGGCUUUGUUGUGCAUGGUUUCACUUAAUUCAGAGGUAGCUGGGGCUCCCUGCACAAAAUUCAGUAGGCUGGAGUAUUAGCCUUUGGCUGAAAGAAAGACUAAGAUUCAUCUCAGUGAACUGCAGCUGCUUGAAAGUUAGGCAUCUAAACUAAUUUACUUGUCCAGGUUCCUGCAAUGACUGAGACACCUCCCCCACCUGGCUGUUCCUCUCAUAACCAGGAUUCACCUCCAGAGAUUACCACCUCUUGGAUGCCAUUCUCAAUUCUUCAUUUCCACUAACCUUAACAGGAUGUGAGACCACAAAAAGCAAGACACAUUAACUAUUCCCAGCACUUCUAGAAAAAUACCCUUACUAUCAGCAUGUUUCCUUCUGUUUUCUGUACCCACUUUGGCCAUACAUCACAGGAAUUAGGACUAAUGGGAAGAAAAUCCCUGCCAGGUUUCCUCAGAGCUCUUCUCCUUUGGCAAUGGUGUUUUUCCCCCAUUCUCUCCACUUUCACACAAACACACCCCACCAUUCCCCAGCCAACAAUGGAGACCGGGGGAUGAGGGGGGAGGGCAAACCCUGCAGACUGUCUGCCUCCACAGACUGUUAUUUUGGAUUUCAUUGACCUUUGAUAGGGCAACUCUUUUUCGGAUCGCUCUCUUGGUUGUAUUCUCCAGGGGAUAUGGCUUUUUACAUUACAAAUUUUGAAAGAUUCUAGGGAAGAAUUUCUGUCUCUCAAAAGCCCUAUAUCUGCUUGAAGUGUUUGGGUUUAUCAGUGACAAUUACAAAACAGAAGCAGUCUGUAUGUGAGGAAAGAUUUCUGUUUGUUGUUUGUAAGCUAUUUUCACUUUGGCUGUAGCUGUCAAGGGGGAUUUCACAGCCAUCCACAUUAUGUCUCACCCCUGUAGCUGAUAUCAGAGCAACCUUAGCUGCUUGAGUAGAAAAAAGAAUCAAGGAGACACAUUAUCUUUUAAAGAAAAGGAACAAAAAAUACUUUUGCAGAACCAACCUAGAGCUCUGCAUCAAAUACCAUCUGUGUUUAAAAAGAAACACAGGGUUGUGAUGUUAAUGAAUUAUUGUUAUUUCCUAGAGGCACAGAUGAAGUGUUUGGUUUUGUGCAAAUCAGAAGUCUCAAACCAGCCCUGUCCCAUUAGCACGGCACAUCAAACACCACAAGCUGAUUUUUGGUUUUUUGGUUCAGCUGAAGGCUGAGGAUUUACACCACUAACAACAGCCACGCAUAUGGUCACAUACAGUCAGGAAAUGAACAACUCUGCAUGAACCGAAGAGAGCGAGGGUGCAAUAAAAACAUAUCCUGCAAAGGGAUCUGUGACGGGAAAUGGGAGGAGAGCUCAGCUUGCAAGAGAAGAACAAAGCCUGUCUCUCUCCAGACUCCACUCUUCAGCAACAUACCACUCAGGAAAGGCCCUGAAAUCCAAAACAUCACUGAGGAGAUGUUUCAGUCUGUGUGAAGGUCAACACCCAGGGUACUGAGAGGGCACCAAGAGGUGCAUCGUGACAAAGAGGCCUGUCCCCCUGCAGAGCCUGGGCCUGGGCUUCAGAAGAUGCUGAUGAAGGCACUGGGUUUGUCCCAUCAUCCAAACACUUACAAUGAGGUGGUAUAUUGCUCCUCAGACAUGGAUGAGAUGCAUACUUCCAUCUGAGAAAUCAAGUCAGAACAGAAUAAGAUGCUUGAAGACUCCUGACAGGAAAAGACAAAAGAAGAUUAGAAACCUUGCAUGCAGCAGCAAAAACAGACUGUGAAUAUUGAAAGCAGGUAUUUAUUGUAACUAUUUAAGAGGAAAUCCUUGAAAUAACUUUCAAGAGGUUCAGCCUUACAACUGAAUCAAAGGCUCACUCUAUUUCCAUUUUCUUUAGGAUCCUGGAUUUUAAAUACAAGCUCAAUUUUCAGGUUUGGAUUUAACCUCUGCAUGUGAGCACAUCUGCCAGAUGAUCCAACCCACUGAUGCUACCUGCCCUCCUAAGCUGAUCUCCCUGGCUGAAGGGUCAGGAGGAGUACUGCCAACCUGGACAGGGUUUCUCAUCUUGAAGCAGAAGAUAGGAAGAGUACAUUCAAGUUAUGAAAUGCAGCAUCAGGGAGAAGAACAGUGCUGGGCCAAAAACCUUGCUUUGCCCCACCACUCAGCAUCGUGCUGCAGCAGGGAGAGGGCAGCAGUCCCUCUGGUACCCCUAUUCUCCAUGCAAAGAGCAGCAGACGGCGGUGAUCAGAUCCAGCCUUGCUGACCUUGCACCAACAUGGAUAUGGAGCAGCCACAUGGUGAGAGCACUGGAAAAGAAGCUUAAAAUCUGCUCCAACUGUUUCCCAGCAGGUGUUUACUUCCUCCCAGCUGACAAGCGUGACUUGCUGUACAAACACACACACCCCUUUGCGGACAAAGUCAAACAAGCAAACCUUUGGCAGCAAUUUAAGUUUGUGUGACAUUGCUCUUAGAUACUUUAAGAGCAAUUAUAUGGCAGGUAACUGCCUCUCCUCUGGGAGGUGGCAACAAAGGGCUGGGAGUUCAAAGACAUGCCAGAGUCAUUUAUUCAGUUAUGAUAAUAACCAGGGAGUAAAUUACAACAGACUGUGAAACAGAAUUGCUAUUAGAUUUAACAACAGAUGGGUAAUUGUUCCCAAAUCCUGACAAUACUGAAAUGUGCACCUUAAUGAUUUCAACCCCAUGUGAAGUGACUGGGCUCCGGCUUGGAGCCUCCAGUGUAGAUUUAGAUAUAAGUGCAGAAACCAGGGACAUCCCUGAGCAAUAGCACCAGUGGGUAGGAACAUUGCCCCUCUGCCUUUCUGGUCCUGUCCUGUGGGGGACCCACAGCUCUUUUGGCCUUGUGAGAGCUGAGUCCCACCUACAGCAUCACAAGGAAGACAGUUUGAUCUAGAUGUAAAAAAGGGAUUGCUGAACCUAAAAGCAGGAAAGAAAUAGAAAAAGAGAGGAAGAAAAUGCUGUCCAGGAGGAGUAAUAACAGCAUGUGCCAGAGGGAACAAGUUCCCUGCCUGGCAACGUCCCUUCCUGUGGUCCAGGAUGAAAAAAAAGGACUGCUCUGUGCUGAAAUGGAUGGAUGGCUGUAUAGGGUGAGGAGCUGCACCUGGAUGCGACAUAAAACCAAGGCCCUUAUUAUGGUGUCCACUCAUCAAAGCUCUUAUCAUUUUUACUUUCAAAGAACAGAACGUGACACCUUGUUUCCUGUUUUAAACCAGGUCAUUAACUAAUUUUUCCCUUUCAGUGUAAAUACUAUUUUCCUUUGUGGUGGCAUUCUUUGCUGUUGGGUGCCAUGACAGUGCUACACUGCUGUCUUCCCUGACAGAAGUCACAGUAAGGGAAAAUAAUUUUAGCCAAAACAUUUUUGUCAGUGAUAUUCUGGCUGAAAAUCCCUCUACACCUAUGUCUCAGCUGCAGAUUUGCCCUAAGACUUCCUGUAAUCUUUCUGGUGAAGCUCCACUACACACAAAUCAAAUCAAGAGAAGCUCUCAUCAGUGUGAAAUACAACAGAGAGCAUUUCCCAGGCUAUAUGUCCUGAUUAAGUGCAUUUUGUUCCCAAAUUUACAGCAUGAUUUAGAUUUUCAUGUGUUGUUCUGUUGCAAAAAAUAGUCCUUACUCAAGACCAGUCUGCAUUAUGCUUUCAAAACUAUCACAGUGCUGGAGGGAACCUGCAGUACCAAUACCAGAGAUAAUUCCAUCACAGAUCAUUCCCCUUUGUUGGAGAAAGCUUUUGUUUUGGCCACCUAUAGAGCCACUAUCCAGCUCUCUGUGUGAAUGUACAGGAAAGCACAUGUAUGUACUGAGUUGAGAACAACCAGUUUCACUUCACGGCAGAUGUUAGCAGCCUGGUGCUCCUAGCUGAAUACCUGAUACAUUAUUCCGUGUUUAUUAACCACCAAUUUAUAGGCCAGAUUUUUAGACAGUGUACAUCUGGACUUCUCUGCUGAGGUUGCUCCUUUGUAUUACGCAAGCUGCAGUCUGUAGCAUAUCUCACAUUACAUAACAUUUUCAUAUUUAUAACUAAAGUAUUUUAGAAGCAUUCUUUAAUAUUUUGACUGGAAAGCAGAGCACUGUCUUCUUUUGAAAUGCGUGUUAGAAUGACAGGGACAGAGGACAGAUAGUAAGCAAAGAUAUACAGCGGGGUUUUAUUUUCUUGCAUCCAUGCAUAACUGAUCCAAACAUUUUAGAGUAUAGAAUGUAACGUGCUGCUUAGCACUGACAAAAGCACCAGGUGUUACCUGAUGACAAGAAACUGGUUCAGAGUUGCAGAAACAAGACAUUUCAAGUGUCCUUAGGCUUUCCUCUGUGAAAUCAAACACUUCUCAUAGAAUACCGAGGUUACCAAACUCACAGAGCAUCUCAUUGAAGCAUAUGUUUUUGAACCAAAAGGCCACAGUGCUCAGUCUGAGGUCAGCAAUAGCUGUAACACCCAGCACACCCCAUACAAGAAUGAGCCAGUCACCUUAUAUGAGUCAGUCGUGAGAGACCUUGCUUGUCACUUUAGAUAAUUUUCACAAACAGACCAGUCAAGACCUGUGGAUCCAAUUGUUGGUAUCACUUAGUUGAGCAGAGUUUGCAAACCAGGACUUGAUGGGCCAGAUUGGCCAGCUCCUUAUGUCUCCCAUGUGCUGACGAGACUCCACCAACACUGCUGGUUGUACAUGGAGGUAUUUGGAGGGGCUGCCAGGCUCCCUGCAUCCCAUCAGAUUCCCACCAAAAGGCAUUCAAAGGGAAUUUUAAGCAUCAGGGUUAACCGUGCUCCAAGCAAAAGCAAAGGAAGAAAAAAUAACAUAGCUGUUAAUUGUUUUGAUUUUAAAAUGCAUCUCAUUAUAUGCAAAUUUAGUUGUGUUUCUUUUUUUUUUUUCCAGAGUAGUCAACUUUUGAAUAAAUCACACUGCUCCUGCCACUCACAGUGCUGUCAAGUUACUUGUCAAAAUCAACGUGGUCAGGCAGAAAGGUCACCAAAUGUAAGAGGAUUUUUUUUUUCAUGGAAAAGAUUUCCUCUUCUUCUGUUUGGCACCACCAAGCACGACCUGUGUCCAUCACUUGCCAUGAGCAUCACCCUGCUGUGCUAUCUCCCAUAUCAUCAGAGCUUGCCACACUUCUAGAGGAAGCUGAGCUCAUGUUUCUUUUUCAGGUAUGCUCUGACAAGCCAUGCAGCUUUGUACCUAGCUGGUACGUGUGUAGGUACUGAAUGCCAUCCAGCACUGUACGCCAAUUAAGUAAAUGCACUUUGAGAACAGAUGUGACAUUUAAAAAGUCCCUGCAAAACCUCUUUCAGCAAAACAUCAAGCAAAACAUUAGCAGCACUCUGAAGAAUUUCUGAGAAAAUGUGAGAUGAUUUUACUUCUGCAACAACAGCAACAAAAAUAAACGCAAGGCAGGAAGAGGAAAACACACUUGUUAAAUAACAGCCAAAUCAGCCGGUGUGAAAAUCUGAUGAGAAGUUAUUGACUGCAAAAGAGUACGUGUGCAUAUACCACAUCACUGCCACAGAGACACAGGAUGUUGUUAGUACAAUGAGAACCUUUGCUCAGCUGUCAUUAAACCGCAGGCUGUACUCACUCUUGGUCUGUUUGACUAAUUCUCAGAUACAUUUCACAGUAUCAGCUGUUCUGCUGGAUAAGUUACGCCAACUGCUCUCCCUCUGACAGGAUGAACUGAGUUGCUUCUUGUUGAUACUGAAGAAACAAGGCUGCACGUGCUAUCUGCUCCUCCCCACGCUCUCAAAAACAAAACACCAUGGUGGUGCAUAGAGAACCUGGACACCACACCAGUAAAUGCUUACAUAUGUCCUGAAUGUCACUCCAGAUCCUCCCACUUUGACCUAUUGCAGGGUUUAAUCCCACCUGCUAUUAAAUAAACAGCAGGAUUCCCAUUGAAAAGAAGCUAAGUUCUCUUGUCCUUGCAGGAACAGGAGUAUGCCCAGAGAAGUACAUGUUUUUUUUCUCUCAAAAUGCUGCAUUAAACAAACCCCAUGUUCCAAAUAGCAAUAAUAAUCAACUACAUAACCCUCCCAUAAGGUAGAUGAAGUGGUGUAGGCAGGGGUCAAUGCAGUUCAUGCAGCUCUAACUUGGGCUGUGCAGAGUUUUCCCAUUGCUGGGCUUGGAGAACAAACGUGAAUGUUAUUUAUCUGUCAUUUUAAUUACUGCCAUAGCACUGGCACAGUGAAGAAAAGCACUGUGAAGCAGAAACUGGUAGCUGUAUUUCCUGCAGUACUCCUGUCUUCAAAGGACAAAGAAGUAAAACACAAGAUACGUUUCCGGCUCUUCCACAAGCAUCUCCCAAGUUCCAUAGGAAAAAAGGCUCUUUGCCAAGAGUUACAAAAGUCUUUUUUAUGACCACAUGUAUAUUCACACAUGUACUCUGAAAUUACUGAGAAGUCAGACACGAGGAAAAGUGAUUUUUUUUUCAAAAUUAGUAGCCAGAAUUAGAAAUGGGCAAUAGAUGUCCUUACUCAGAGCCUUCCUUUGAACAUCAGGACACAGUUCAAGCAAGAAACACUGGUAAAUUUAGCAAGAUUUCCCAGACACAUUACUGAGCUUUGAGGAGAUGUGUUCUUUGUGAACUCUCAGCAGUUCCCUUGUCUGGUAGGCAUCUGCAACAUGCUGAAAUGCCCUAGUGCUGCUCUGUUCUCACCUAAGCAAUGUAGCUGACCUUUCCAUAUCAGUUCUUGUGUGUAGCAUGAUAGCUUUAACCGGGCAAGACAAAGAAAAGCCAACAUAACGUGGCUGCAGUCACGUUAUCUGUCUGAGAGACUUUCUUUACUGCCUCCUUAGCUGAACAGUGAAUGAAUGGCACUUUUGCAGAUUUAACCUUUCCUUUAUGUCCUUUCUCUGAGUCACGAGGAUUUCAUUCUCUGUUCUGUAGCUCACCUGCAAAAAGUACCAUUUCCUUCUUCUGCCACAAAACAUGCGCUCACAGUGUAGAGACAGAAGAAACACUGCUAUCAUUUCCCCUUGGCCGAUGUGAGGAGAUCAUGCAGCUAAAGGCAGCAGUGUCUGUGCCGUGUUUACAUUCCCGCUGAGCAGGUACAGACAGGGCACAGACCCAGAUGUGUCAACUGGGGCACUGCUGUGCACACACAAAAAAAUCAUCAAGAAAUUGAAGUUCUGCCAAAGGGAAACUCAGGGGUCUUUUUGCAGCAUCCAGGGCAGGGAUUAAUGCUGGCAAUUGUGCGCGGCUUUUAAUUUCCUAGGGGUGACAUUUCUGAUGCCAUAAAGGCAUAAUUCUGUGGUUCAUUUUGUUUCUACUUACCCAGCAUACCUCUCAUAAAGAAGAGCAAUAGAUUAUUAUCUGACUUGUUCUUGCUGUUUUACAGACAGCAUUUUGCGAGGGUUGCCUUGUCCAUUCUGAGGAUGCUUUCAAAACACUACUCAAAAAGGGCUUUUUUUUCCCCCCAGUUUUAAAAGAUGAACUCCUCUUUCUAUGUUAUUUCUAUGAAUGUCCAACAUGAUUCAAAUUUUUCACAUGCAAUUCCUGAAUAUGAGUGCCUCCUCUAUUGCAUAUCUGACAACAACACAAUUGUGUUUGGAGAGUGAGUGCAAGGGCAUGCACAAAGUCUGGCCUCUGGAACAUCGCUCACACUGGAAGUAAUCAGAACUGUGAUAUCCAAAAUAAUAACACAUUUUUUAAAAUAGCAGCAACAAUCCCCUUUCUAGGGAUGCUUUAUGAUGCUGACUACUUAAAUAGUCCCACCAAGGGGGCUGCGCAUGCAACAGGUUUCCGAAGAGCUCUGAUUCUGUCCCACCCGAUCACAGAGUGAGGGGGAAUCUUUCUAUAAGGAAAUUUUCAUAUUCAUAAAAAAAAGAUACGUCUACAGCUUAAUUUGUGGGCCGAUAUGAAAGGCACUGGCAAAGAGUUCCUCAAAAUUUAGAUUUUUGUUAGAAAUCGUUUGUUAGCUAUGAAUCCUUUCCCUUUCCUUGCACCACAAAUAGCUGAGUCAGCAAACGAGAUGUUUCUUUGUAUCAUGAGGACAACAUAUUUGCCCCCAUAUAAGUUUCCUUUGGCCUUUUUUUGAUUGUUUGUUUGUUUUGUUUGUUUGUUUGUAGACACAGCUCAUGAAAAUCAAGGUAGUCCAAAACUGCUACAUUUUACGUGUAGGCACAAGGACUUGGAUAAGACAGCCAUUAUCAUCCUUUCAGCAAGGCCAGUGGUAUAGCUGAGCAGAAUCUUGCCCUAUAUCAGUACAGUGAGCACCAAGGGUGCAAAGCUGGAGAAGUGAUCUGAGCCAAGGAGAUAGCUUCCACCCGAGGUCCCUGUCCAUAGCUCCUCAUCUCUUCCCCGGACACAUACACCUGAUCUUCCUGCCCACAAGCAUGCACUGUGCUGCAGGAGCUAACAGGAAGAUGUGUUUGGGAUGGCUCUGCUGAGGGACAGAGGCUUUCCUGUCACCAGCAGCACAGAGGGAGGGACAGGUCACCUCCAAGGAACAUACUGCAUGUGAAAGGAAUAUGACUUUUGCAGCUUGAACAGGGGAGAGGCAGGGAGGAUCCAAUCCAGCCAGCAGAGAGGAAAAGAAAACACAGUGAUAGUGAGACAAGAUAUCUUGGGAAACUGCAAACAUCUUACCUAAUGAGCUCUGAGGGUCACAGCACCACCAGUCUGGUCCACUGCCCAAGAUGCUUCUUCCAGUUGCUCUGUGUCACAUGGCCUCG